CCCUGGGAAUGAGAACCUGGCCCAGAGAGGGGCUGCUUCGGCCCAGUGUCACACAGCUUAGUUCUGGAGCCCUGGGAGCCAGUGCUGCACGGAUGUCCCAGAUGUGGCCCAGCGCUCAGGGCUGCAUCCAGGGUAUAGCCUCAGGUAAUAACACUGCAGGUCCCUGGCUAGGCCUCAUUUGUUCCCUAUUCACCUGCACCCCUCUGGCAGCUGGGCUGGGCCCUGGAUGGCCACCUUGUCCUCUGAUGAUAGGAAAGGCCCGCCGUCCUGGCAGCUCUGACAGCUGCAGUCAGUGGUUGAAGGGGAGCAAGCAAGGGGACAACCUCCAGCUACCCAAGGCAUCCCGUGUGUACACCUUGCCAAGACUAGCCUGGGAGACAAAGCCUGGGGUGCUAGAGACUAGGUGUCUAGCCUUGGCUGUGUGACCUUGGGAAGGUCACUUAACCUCUCUGAGCCUUAUUGGCAAACAGAAGUAUACAGCAGGAUUAUUGGAAGAAAAACAAGGGAACAUUAACAAAUAUGCCCAGCCUGUUACAUGUUGCUUCCUGGCCAGAAAGCUCAAUAGCUGGCGAGUGGAGUCCACACUGGCAGCUGCCAGCUGCUCAAGACAGGGUGGGGAGGGGACAUGCCUCCUGGAGGGACCAGCCUGAGAAUGACUUGAUAGCAAAUCCUCCAAAUGGGAGGAAGAUAAGCCCCUUCGGCUAACAUGUAGAACCCACAUCUUCCUAUGGGAGCAUCUGUCCUUUCACCCCAUUUCCCACCCCUGCUAAGAACGAGCAUUUAUUGAUCACUUACUGUAUGCUCAAGUGUGCAGACUCAUUUAAUCCUCACACAAAUGUCACCUGCCACCAAGCCAUCAGCCACUGCACCCCCCCCAUGGUGCACCCUGGGGGGAAUGUAAGAUGGAGAAAAUAUGGAUACUGGCCCUAGGUAGUCACAAUGCGUAUUUAAGGAGUAAUUUCAAUGAGCCCAGACUCUUACAUCUUCCUAUACAUAGAAAAGCACUAAAAUCAUUAACUUGAGCUGUUUAUUUUGUGUGAUUAGCAUAAUCUUCUGGUGUCUGACUACAUGUUUUUUUAUUUUCAGCAAAAACUCCUGGAGUUCUCAUUGUGGCUCAGCAGGUUAAGAACACAACUAGUAUCCAUGGGGAUGCGGGUUUGAUCCCUGGCCUCGCUCAGUGGGGUAAGGAUCCGGUGUUGCCACAAGCUGUAGUGUAGGUCACAGAUGCGGCUCAGAUCAGGAUCCGGUGGGGCUGUGGCUAUGGUUCAGGCCAGCAGCCCUAGCUCUGACUCGACCCCUAGUCUGGGAACUUCCAAAUGCUGCAGGUGUGGCCCUAAAAGGAAAAAACAAACACACAAACAAAACCCCUCCUAUACCCUGGCCCCUUCUUUACUUCUUUGGAGCAGUUCUUUGAAGCUGUCUGAGAGGCUGUCACCCAGGCUGUAGUCCUCAGUAAGCUCCCCGAAUAAAACUUGUAGGUCAUACA
rnacentral:lncRNA from 1 species